rnacentral:rRNA from 1 species
CGGACGGGUGAGUAAUGUCUGGGAAACUGCCUGAUGGAGGGGGAUAACUACUGGAAACGGUAGCUAAUACCGCAUAACGUCGCAAGACCAAGAGGGGGACCUUCGGGCCUCUUGCCAUCGGAUGUGCCCAGAUGGGAUUAGCUAGUAGGUGGGGUAACGGCUCACCUAGGCGACGAUCCCUAGCUGGUCUGAGAGGAUGACCAGCCACACUGGAACUGAGACACGGUCCAGACUCCUACGGGAGGCAGCAUG